GUGGUAUUUAUCUGGAAAAAAAGAGAGAAAAAUUAAGAAAAUUUAUAUUUGUAAAGUUUAAUAUGUGUGUUUUUGACCGGCAAAAAUAACAAAAAUAUUACGAAAAGUGCGAGCCAUAUUAUCGGAUAUGUGGAAACAUAUAACUCCGGUAUAACAUGGACUUUCCACCUUUGCCUCAUUUGCCUUUAGACGGCAGACGCAUUGAUUGAUAUUCUUGCAAAGACGCUUUGUCAAUAGAUCUGAUCUCGUUUAGGAUAAAUGAAGCUUUCAAGAUGGAUGUAGGGACAUAAAGAACGACUUCAAGUGUUUGAAACGAAUAAUAUUAUCGAUGUGUUACCAAUGUUAUAACAUAAUUAACACACCCCUUAAAUUUCGU